GACGUAGGGCGCGAGCGUUGUCCGGAAUUAUUGGGCGCAAAGAGCUCGUAGGCGGCUUGUCGCGUCGACUGUGAAAACCCGCGGCUCAACUGCGGGCCUGCAGCCGAUACGGGCAGGCUAGAGUUCGGUAGGGGAGACUGGAAUUCCUGGUGUAGCGGUGAAAUGCGCAGAUAUCAGGAAGAACACCUAUGGCGAAGGCAGCACUCUGGGACGGUACUGACGCUGAGACGCGAAAGCGUGGGGAGCGAACAGG
rnacentral:rRNA from 1 species